GAUGAACGCUGGCGGCGUGCCUAAUACAUGCGAGUCGAGCGAACGGACGAGAAGCUUGCUUCUCUGAUGUUAUCGGCGGACGGGUGAGUAACACGUGGAUAACCUACCUAUAAGACUGGGAUAACUUCGGGAAACCGGAGCUAAUACCGGAUAAUAUUUUGAACCGCAUGGUUCAAAAGUGAAAGACGGUCUUGCUGUCACUUAUAGAUGGAUCCGCGCUGCAUUAGCUAGUUGGUAAGGUAACGGCUUACCAAGGCAACGAUGCAUAGCCGACCUGAGAGGGUGAUCGGCCACACUGGAACUGAGACACGGUCCAGACUCCUACGGGAGGCAGCAGUAGGGAAUCUUCCGCAAUGGGCGAAAGCCUGACGGAGCAACGCCGCGUGAGUGAUGAAGGUCUUCGGAUCGUAAAACUCUGUUAUUAGGGAAGAACAUAUGUGUAAGUAACUGUGCACAUCUUGACGGUACCUAAUCAGAAAGCCACGGCUAACUACGUG
rnacentral:rRNA from 1 species